GCUUGGAGUCUGGGGUCUCUGUUUAUUCCGUGAAUGGGAUGCCUGACCUGUGAGUGAAACCCACUCAGAGGAAAGUCAAGCUGAGACACAGGAAGUGACCGGCUUCCAAUGACGACACCAUCUCAACUCGCGGAUCCAGGCUUUGCCUGAAAUUGGGAACCUUUGCCGUCGCUGGAACCCGUUCACGUGCUGGUUUUGCUUAGACGUGUUUAAGCCCAUUUGCUCACAACGAAACAGAGCCCUGACCAAGCCACCCGGUUUCAUGCUCUCCAAGUACAUGUCCUGCUAUGGUUUCUUCAUGUGCUGGAAAGUCUGGAUACAAGAGGAGACCAAGAGAGGGCAGGGUAUGAUGAGAGGCCUCCAAAAUUGUGUCCAGGAAACUGCUGUGGAUAAAGAGUUUUAUGUUCACGCUCAUCUGGGAAAUUGUUCAACAGGUGCGAGCCGCUCUCCAUUUCCAGGAGGGAGGCGGAGACUGUGUUUUUAAAGACACGGACUUGAGAGGAGUUGAGGCAGCUGGAAGGCAAACACCAAACAAACCGCGGAACAGUUAAAUGCCCUGGGCUCGCUCGGUAAAUGUGGAGCUGAGAGGAACCACCAGGCAGCCUCUCCCUCUCCUUCUGGAACCUUCUCCCAACAGUGAUGGCUGCCACAGAGCAGGGGCUGGAGGCCAUGACCCUGUACUCUGGAGCAGGGAGCGUGGAACCAUCCAGAGGAACUGACAGGCCACAUUGAAGAGGUGAGCUCACCGCGCAAGCCCGGCUUCGAGAUGGUCCCCUCCGACCCCCAGCCACUCUGUUCCUUCCAAACAGACGCUGCGGCCGAGCUGCCUCCGAGGCGUGGAGAUUCUGGAAGGAAACGCGGGCUGGGGAGGAGGAACGAGUUAUGGCAGAGCGGGCACGUUUGGUGGCAGCCGCUCGUGUGCGGAGAGCUGUCCCAGGGGCCCGGGGACGCGGAGGCUCAGCCGGACAGAAACCCGCUCAGGUCCCUGGGGUCAGGGGGAAUCCAGAGAGGAAAUCAGGAGGCCGGGCUAAGUGGGGAGAUUGGAAGAAGGGACAUUCAAAACGGGGCUAAUUGGGGCACCCGGGUGGCUCGGUCGGUUAAGCGUCCGACUUCGGCUCAGGUCACGAUCUCGCGGUCCGUGGGUUCGAGCCCCGCGUCGGGCUCUGUGCUGACCGCUCGGAGCCUGGAGCUGCU